rnacentral:lncRNA from 1 species
CCUAAUCCACUUCUUCAACCUCAGGUCCAUUGUCAGCACCGCCCGGAGCACCACCAGGGGCACCGCCAGGCAUACCACCAGGUGCACCACCAGGUGCGCCUCCUGCUUGAUAAAUCUUGGCCAUGAUGGGAUUCGCGACACCUUCAAGUUCUUUUUGCUUGUCCUCAUACUCAUCUUUGGCAGCAGUGGUGUUGUGAUCCAACCAUUCAAUGGUUUCUUUGACAGCCUUAUCAAUGGCUUCCUUAUCUGAAGCAUCGACCUUAUCCUUGAGAUUAGGAUCGUCCAAGGAAUUACGAAGAGAAUAUGCAUAAGACUCCAGGUGAUUCUUGGCUUGAAUACGAGAAGUUUCUGCUUCAUCUUCAGCCUUGUACUUCUCGGCUUCAGAUACCAUACGAUCAAUUUCUUCCUUGGAAAGACGACCCUUGUCAUUGGUAAUGGUAAUCUUUUGAGUCUUACCAGUACCCUUUUCAAGGGCAGAAACGUUCAAAAUACCAUUAGCGUCAACAUCGAAGGUGACCUCGAUUUGUGGAACACCACGAGGAGCAGGGGGGAUACCAGAAAGCUCAAACUUACCAAGCAAGUUACAGUCCUUGGUACGAGCACGCUCACCUUCGAAUACUUGAAUCAACACACCGGGUUGAUUAUCGGCGUAGGUGGAAAAGACUUCGGAUUUCUUGGUAGGAAUAGUCGUGUUACGCUUAAUAAGAGGAGUCAUGACUCCACCAGCGGUCUCAAUACCUAAAGAAAGAGGGGCAACGUCAAGAAGCAACAAAUCCUGGGUCUUUUCAGAAGUAUCACCCACCAAAAUAGCGGCUUGGACAGCAGCACCAUACGCGACAGCCUCAUCAGGGUUAAUAGACUUGCAGGGCUCCUUUCCAUUGAAGAAGUCGGAAACAAGCUUUUGAAUACGAGGAAUACGAGUAGAACCACCUACCAAGACGAUUUCGUUAACAGAGGACUUGUCGAUCUUGGAGUCGCGGAGGACCUUCUCCACAGGCUCCAUGGUGUUACGGAAGAGAUCGGCACAAAGCUCUUCAAAUCGAGCACGAGUAAUGGAGGUGUAGAAAUCAAUACCUUCAUACAAAGAAUCAAUUUCAAUGCUGGCUUGAGCAGAAGAAGAAAGAGUACGCUUGGCACGCUCGCAAGCAGUACGUAGUCGACGAACAGCACGAGCGUUGCCAGUGAUGUCCUUCUUGUUCUUACGCUUGAAUUCUUGGGCAAAGUGGUUCACUAAGCGAGAGUCAAAAUCUUCACCACCCAAGUGGGUAUCACCAGCGGUGGCUUUAACUUCGAAAAUACCCUCUUCAAUAGUAAGAAGGGAGACAUCAAAAGUACCACCACCAAGGUCGAAAAUAAGGACAUUGGUUUCAUGCUGGUUGCUUCUGUCUAAACCAUAAGCAAUGGCGGCAGCUGUGGGCUCGUUAAUGAUACGAAGGACGUUUAGUCCAGCAAUCAAACCGGCAUCCUUCGUGGCCUGACGUUGGGAGUCAUUGAAAUAAGCGGGAACAGUAACAACGGCAUCGGUGACUUUGCCACCCAAAAAGGCUUCUGCGCUUUCACGCAUCUUCAAUAAAACCAUAGAGGAGAUUUCCUCUGGUGUAAAGGUCUUGGUCUCACCCUUGAACUCUACCUGAAUCAAAGGCUUACCAUCCUUCUCGAUGACCUUAAAAGGCCAAUGUUUCAUAUCAGAUUGGACUUCGGGAUCGUUAAAUCUGCGGCCAAUCAAUCGUUUGGCAUCGAAAAUAGUGUUGUGAGGAUUCAUAGCAACUUGAUUUUUUGCAGCAUCACCGAUCAAUCGUUCUGUGUCAGUGAAUGCAACAUAGGAGGGAGUCGUGCGAUUUCCCUGGUCAUUGGCAAUAAUUUCCACUCGAUUAUUCGAGAAAUGACCGACGCACGAGUAAGUAGUACCCAAAUCAAUACCGAUAGACUUGCUC